rnacentral:tRNA from 1 species
GGGGAUAUGGCUCAGUGGGAGAGCUCUUGCCUUACAUGCAUCGGGUCCUGGGUUUAAUCCCCAGCACCA